GCACCACCGGCUCCGGGACCAAUCACGCCACCAGCGUCCGUCCGCCAUCACCACCGUCCCCAGCAUCACCAUCACCAGCAUCAGCACCUCCACCAGCACCAUCGGCUCCGGGAUCAAGCCCGCCACCAGCCUCCAUCAUUAACCAGCACCACCACCAGCACCACC